AUUAAAGCUAACAAUGUGUAUCACUUUUAGUUUCUAAUAGAUAUUUUAACAGCACCAGUAAUAUCAAAUUCUAAUUCUAAUUUAAAGAAUGAUGAAAAACAAACAUGUGUAUCGUGAGAAAUUGAAUUUAUAAACUCAGCGAAAGGACUGAUCUCAUCUUCGUUUCCUUGGUAUACAACCUUUUCACAACAGUCUACGACUGAUUAAUGCUUCUUGUUCGACCGUUAUCAAUCGUUUACGUGGUAAUUAAUGCGAGAUAAGAAAACUUCAUAUUUCUUUGUUGAAAGAGGUGCUCGAUGCAACGUGUGGUAGUUUCUCACCUUGAUUUUCUUUUCUAAGAAUACACCAAGGACUUUCGUAUGGCUGCGUGAUAAUGAAAUCUACCACGAAUUGCCAAUGUGUCGAUGAUGAAAUCCGUGACAUUCUCUCACGGCCUUGAGUCGGGACCAGCAUACUUUAUAAAUAUUACCGUUACAAUUCGCAAUGAUUCUCUGUCCUCUAUUUCUCCAUACAAAAUUGUUGCAAAUGCAAGUCAAAGAAAAUUCUACACCCCAUUAAGGAAUACUAAACAGUCAGUUCCAUGAAUAUACACCCUCUGUAUCUAUUCAAGAAAUCUAAUUGUAAAUUAAAUCACAGAAUACAUGAAUUAUUUUUCUACAUUUGAACUGACCGUACGUUUCACUUUACAUAAACGUUGUAAAAGUUGAAAUUUACUUUUAACAGAUGAAAUUAUUAAUUAAAUAUUCGCAACAUGAUUAGUAGAUUGAAAAGUUGCUACAUUCUUACCGAAUAUCGAUUAAAAAUUAAUUAUUAUAAAAUUUUUAAUACAUAUAUGACACAAAGAGCUACGUUUGAAUAUAUAAUUUUAAAGAUUAAAGGACAAAAUCAAUUCCACUCUCUAUACUGAAAAUGAACACACGUUUUCAAUUCUACGAUAUAAAUCAUUCACCUCGACUCGCUAACAGUAUCGCAAAGAAACUGAACGGAGAACAAAGCGGAUAUUUAUUCACAGGAUUAUCUCUUCAGCGACGCAAUACCAUGAAACGUAAUUGUAAAAGCAGAAUGACAGGUACGUUUACGUAACAGAAUGCAAUUUCAUUGGUAAAAGAAAGAAAAAAAAAAUUAGGCGCAGCCUGAAUUUACACGACUAAAUGCAAUCGAGCGCAACCUCGUCGACUCGAAAAUAAAUGCAGUUCCCAUUAGCCGUCGGCGACCUAAUUUUCUUCGGUUACCGUUUGUGCGCGUGUACUCGUCGAUCAAUGAACCCAAGAAUCAUUACCUAACGCCGCCAUUUGCAUUUACCAACAUUGAUAAUGAUGGCUCCGGACGUUUUGCGUUGCAAUACGGUCGAAUUAAGUAAACAUCGCAUUUCUAUCCAUUAUGUAUUUAGUUCCCCCAUUUUCUCCGUUAAUCUACUUAUUCUUUAUUACCACAGCUUACUUUUUAAUUAUACUCUUGAAGAAAAAAAAGGAGGUUGUUUUUUUAUAUAUUUUUAUUUCCUCAAUAGAUGUACAGGAGUGUUCGAAUACAUAUGGGACUGUCUGUAAUUAAUUUUCGCGACGUUUUCAUUUGAUCAUAUUUGCUACCAAUUCAUGUUUAUUCGUAACAACUAACGAAAAAUUGAUCUCUUGCGGGAAUCGAUAAAAAAAAAAACAA